rnacentral:misc_RNA from 1 species
GUGUCUUCCCGCAAGGGAAGACGCUAGUGGGGAACGGCUGAGUAACACGUAGGUGACCUGCCCAGAGGUGGGGGAUAACGAUUCGAAAGAGUCGCUAAUACCGCAUGUGCUCGGCGAUUCAAUUUGCCGAGUAAAGCCGAAAGGCGCAUUGAGAGGGGCCUGCGUCCCAUCAGGUAGUUGGUGAGGUAAUAGCGCGCCCGGCCGAUGACGGGUAGCUGGUCUGAGAGGACGAUCAGCCACUAUGGAAUUGAUGCACGGUCCAUACUCUUUCUCUGAUCUCGCUGUAAACUCGAGCC